GACUCGGUAGCUCAGCCGGUAGAGCAAGUGACUCUUAAUCACUGGGUCGAGAGUUCGAGCCUCUCCCGGGUCACCA
rnacentral:tRNA from 1 species